GUGGGGAAUCUUGCGCAAUGGGCGAAAGCCUGACGCAGCCAUGCCGCGUGAAUGAUGAAGGUCUUAGGAUUGUAAAAUUCUUUCACCGGGGACGAUAAUGACGGUACCCGGAGAAGAAGCUCCGGCUAACUUCGUGCCAGCAGCCGCGGUAAUACGAAGGGGGCUAGCGUUGCUCGGAAUUACUGGGCGUAAAGGGCGCGUAGGCGGACAGCUUAGUCAGAGGUGAAAGCCCAGGGCUCAACCUUGGAAUUGCCUUUGAUACUGGCUGUCUUGAGUUUGGGAGAGGUGAGUGGAACUCCGAGUGUAGAGGUGAAAUUAGUAGAUAUUCGGAAGAACACCAGUGGCGAAGGCGACUCACUGGCCCAAUACUGACGCUGAGGCGCGAAAGCGUGGGGAGCAAACAGGAUUAGAUACCCCUGUAGUCC
rnacentral:rRNA from 1 species